rnacentral:pre_miRNA from 1 species
CCGGUACUCGCUCCGUCCGAAAAUACUUGUCAUCAAAAUGGAUAAAAAGAGAUGUAUCUAGAACUAAAAUACGUCUAGAUACAUUUCCUUUUAUCCAUUUUGAUGACAAGUAUUUUCGGACGGAGGGAGUAUUUU